rnacentral:lncRNA from 1 species
CGCCUCGCCUGGGCAGAGUCGCCCGGGGCUGCGCCUGGUCGGGGCACCCCAGCCCUCACUCCUGCCCGCCGCCCACUGCCCUCGUACGCCAUUUCCUGUGCUCCGUGUUUACUUCCCGGUUCAACCCCUUCACUGGGGGCGAUCGGCGCUGCUGCCUGCGGAGGGAGCGGGAGGGUGAGGUGAGGGGAGCCGAGCCGCUCCGCGCCGCGAGGCGGAGGACCGAAUCCGCUGUGCCGGUCUUCGCGCUGAGCCGUCCACCUCUUCUCUUGCAGGUGUACCCGGAGCCGCGGACGGAGGGCGAGUGCCUGAGCAACAUCCGCGAGUUCCUGCGAGGCUGCGGUGCCUCCCUCCGCCUGGAGGUUUUAAGAGCUGUAAGCAUAUGCAAGUUGGAAUUCACAUUGUGUUUCUGACAUGAUUUAAGAGGUGGGUUAUGCCAGUGUUACAGAAGAUAAUUUAGCAUUCAGACCUUUCUAUCUGGUAAUAGUUUGUAAGGUAAAAAUAACUCUGCUUGAUACUUGGAUCUCAAAAUUCAUUCAAAAUUGAUUCUUGCAGUGGCAGAAUUGGGGCUGUUGUAUGAGGGGGAUGUUUGUCAUCCGGUGGCACUGAAUAGGGAAGUUACUGAAUGACUCUUUCUCACAUCAAGAUAUGAUGUUUUAAAGAGUCAGUUCUCACAGCUGAUCUGUCCGUAAAAACCAGAAUGGAGAUCACAGACUACAUGUAAGUUGGACUUCUCUUGGAAACCUGGAGCAGACUGUUUCCUUUAGCAAUCCCAUGGAAGCUCCUUUUAAAGCCUCUUGAUGCUUUUACUUGUGUCAGUUUUCAAAUACAUUGUGAAAUGAGCAAACUUCUACUAAGAAGAAGGAUGUGGGUGUUUGGUGGGGGUUUUGUUGUUUGUUUGGUGUGGGUUUUUUUUUUUUGUUUUGUUUUUUUUUUUGUUUUUUGUCCUCAAGACUUGAGAGCAGCUAAGCUUUUUUCCUCACUUUUUAUCUCUAGGUUAGUUUAUUCUUAAACAUUUGUUAUGUUAGGAGAAGACCUCUCUGGAGGGUGUCAUGUCCCCCUCCCCGUUGUCAAAUGCUACUAGUGAACGUACUGGCCAUGAGAGUGCUGAGGGUGGCUUCCUGUCAGAAUUGCUUUACGUAAAAUUGCAAGGAAGCAAAUGUUUCUUGUAUCCUCCCAUUG